rnacentral:rRNA from 1 species
CAGCCGCCACGGUAAUACGAAGGGUGCAAGCGUUAAUCGGAAUUACUGGGCGUAAAGCGUGCGUAGGCGGUGAGUUAAGUCUGCUGUGAAAUCCCCGGGCUCAACCUGGGAAUGGCAGUGGAUACUGGCUCGCUAGAGUGUGUCGGAGGAUGGUGGAAUUCCCGGUGUAGCGGUGAAAUGCGUAGAGAUCGGGAGGAACAUCAGUGGCGAAGGCGGCCAUCUGGGACAACACUGACGCUGAGGCACGAAAGCGUGGGGAGCAAACAGGAUUAGAUACCCCCGUAGUCCCUGUCUCUUAUAC